AAGAAGCAACCUAUCUUGGACACAAAACAACUCACUUGAUCAUGGAUGAAGUUGAGUUUGGUUUGGAUCAAAGAAGAUUAAGCUUCUCAUUUGUCAAGACCAACCUCAAGACUUUAACUCAUUGGCCAUUGAUGGAAAGAAAGGGAUGAAGAUGAAAGGGAGAGGAAAAGAAGACAACAAUCAAAUCCUAUUGAUCAAAGUUGAUUCAAAUCAACCUCAACCAACACCAAAUAGAAGAGAAAUGGAGAUAACAAGUCAAAGAGUCAAUGGUAUUUUUUUG
rnacentral:lncRNA from 1 species